CUCAAGGCAGCUCUCUCAAGGAGCCCAGCAGCUCGAGCUCAGGAGCAUGGUCUGAGCCUGGCAGCUGCUUCCAUCACACAAAGCAAUAGGACAAUGUUGCAAAAGGAUCUGCAAGAGAGGCAAUUCCAUCCAGGCCAACUUGAAGGAAAGACUUUGUCAAGAUCAUUUUGAAAAUGAAACGUGACUUCCUCUUUUGUUUUGUUUUGUUUUCAGGUCAAGAAAUGAGAAGGAUGCCAAGCUGAGCACAGUCCCUGGAGGCUUCUGCAGGAUCACAUGUCUCUGCAGAAAUGCCAUUUUAACUGAUGGCCGGGCGUGGUGACUCACAAAGUGCUGCAAUCCCAGCACUUUGGGAAGCCAAGGCGGAUCACUUGAGGUCAGAAGUUCGAGACCAGCCUGUCCAACAUGGUGAAACCCCAUCUCUACUAAAAAUACAAAAAUUAGCCAGACAUGGUGGUGCAUGCCUGUAGUCCUAGCUACUCGGGAGGGUGACGCAGGAGAAUCACUUGAACCUGGGAGGCGGAGGUUGACGUGAGCCAAGAUCAUACCACUACACUCCAGCCUGGACGACAGAGCAAGACCCUGUUUUGUUUUGUUUUUUUCCUUUUUUAAAAAAAAAAAAAAAACCUCACUCAAAUAAGACAAGUAUUUAGUAAACUUCCCAUAACAUCUUUUCUAACUGAAAUAGGGCUAUGUUAGGGCUAUGUCAUGUUGUUGCUGCACUUUAUGGUUUUUCAGGACUCAGUGGGCAUUAGGGAUGGUGUGAAAGAGACAUGCUCUCAUGUUUCCUGCCUGGAGGAGAAGGAUCCUCAGAGAGCCUCAGCAGGUGGUAGCAGCAGGAACUGCUGAAGGCCAGAGUGAGAGCCCAGAGGGAGGAGAAAGACAAAAACUGGUUGGAAACCUGUGCAAGAAGCAGGUAAACCUCCAGAUCUUCACCAUCAGCCUGCACAGCCCAAAUGUUGCCAUCUCUUAGCCUGGCAGAAGAUGGGAGAUUUAGUCUCUGAACAAAUUAGACAAGUAAGCUCUGGAAACAGGAAUAGUAGGCACAGCUAUGAGCAGGAGAGAGACACUGCACUGAACACAGGGGCACUAGGUAAGUCCUUAUAAUGAAUGGUGGGCUUCGCACCUCUUCAUCGCCUUAGAGAACUCUUAGGAAAGUGGCAGUCAGGUUUACAGCUCCCAGCCUGGAAACUAAAGAGCUCCUCUCUCAGAUAGGCCCAAGCAGGGGGAAUAAAACACCUAUAGAUGUUGAAGUUUCAUCUCCAACAAAUGAUCCCGAUUCCUACCUGAGCAUCCUAUAGUGGCACCCAGAAAUCAAGGAACCCCUCCUCAACACAGCUAUUCCGUUCAACCUGUGAGUACUUCAACCUUUAAAAGGAUGACUUGUGGGUAUCUAGGACUUGAGGAAAGUCUUAGAGAAAUGUAGAAGAAAAAGAAAAUUUUAAACAUAUUUAAUAUAAGAGAUAUAACAAAGAAUGGAACAAGAUUGAAAGCUAUGAAACAAGAAUAGGGUGCUGUUUGGCCAGGCGUGGUGGCUCACGCCUGUAAUCCCAGCACUUUGGGAGGCCGAGGCGGGUGGAUCACCUGAGGUCAGGAGUUCAAGACCAGCCUGGCCAACAUGGUGAAACCCUGUCUCUACUAAAAAUACAAAAAUUAGCUGGGCAUAGUGGCAGACGCCUGUAAUCCCAGCUGCUCGGGAGGCUCAGGCAGAAGAAUCACUUGAACCCGGGAAGCAGAGGUUGCAGUGAGCUGAGAUCGCACCAUUGCACCCUAGCCUGGGCGAUAAGAGCAAAAAAAAAAAACACACAAAACAAAAAAAACCCAAAAGGUGCUAUUUAAGAAAGAGUCAGAAAUAAGUCUUGAAAAAUUAAAAAUAUGCUAGCAGAAUAUUUUUGUAAAUUGAAAGGAGGCUGGGUGUGGUGCCUCAUGCCUGUAAUUCCAACACUUUGGGAGGCCAAGGUGAGCAGAUAGCUUGAGCUCAGGAGUUCAAGACCAGCUUGGGCAACAUAGUGAAACUCCAUCUCUACAAAGUAAAAAAAUAAAUAAAAUUGAAAGGAUUAGAAUAGAAAGGUCUUUAAAAAUCUCCCAAUAAUAUAUAACAAGAAGAAAAGGAGAUAAGAAAUCAAAGGCAAAAAUAUAAGAAAAUUAUACAAUCAAUCCAAGAGGUAAAAGAGAUAGGUAGUAGGACUCCUGAAAAAGAGAAACAAAGAGGCCAG
rnacentral:lncRNA from 1 species